rnacentral:rRNA from 1 species
AUUGAACGCUGGCGGCAUGCCUUACACAUGCAAGUCGAACGGUAACGGGCCUUCGGGUGCCGACGAGUGGCGAACGGGUGAGUAAUGCAUCGGAACGUACCUUUCAGUGGGGGAUAACGUAGCGAAAGUUACGCUAAUACCGCAUAUUCUGUGAGCAGGAAAGCAGGGGAUCGCAAGACCUUGCGCUGAUUGAGCGGCCGAUGUCAGAUUAGCUAGUUGGUGAGGUAAAGGCUCACCAAGGCGACGAUCUGUAGCGGGUCUGAGAGGAUGAUCCGCCACACUGGAACUGAGACACGGUCCAGACUCCUACGGGAGGCAGCAGUGGGGAAUUUUGGACAAUGGGGGCAACCCUGAUCCAGCCAUGCCGCGUGAGUGAAGAAGGCCUUCGGGUUGUAAAGCUCUUUCGGUCGGGAAGAAAUCGCAUGGGUUAAUACCCUGUGCGGAUGACGGUACUGGCAUAAGAAGCACCGGCUAACUACGUGCCAGCAGCCGCCGUAAAAC